rnacentral:rRNA from 1 species
GAUGAACGCUGGCGGCGUGCCUAAUACAUGCAAGUCGAGCGAACAGACGAGGAGCUUGCUCCUCUGACGUUAGCGGCGGACGGGUGAGUAACACGUGGAUAACCUACCUAUAAGACUGGGAUAACUUCGGGAAACCGGAGCUAAUACCGGAUAAUAUAUUGAACCGCGUGGUUCAAUAGUGAAAGACGGUUUUGCUGUCACUUAUAGAUGGAUCCGCGCCGCAUUAGCUAGUUGGUAAGGUAACGGCUUACCAAGGCAACGAUGCGUAGCCGACCUGAGAGGGUGAUCGGUCACACUGGAACUGAGACACGGUCCAGACUCCUACGGGAGGCAGCAGUAGGGAAUCUUCCGCAAUGGGCGAAAGCCUGACGGAGCAACGCCGCGUGAGUGAUGAAGGUCUUCGGAUCGUAAAACUCUGUUAUUAGGGAAGAACAAAUGUGUAAGUAACUAUGCACGUCUUGACGGUACCUAAUCAGAAAGCCACGGCUAACUACGUG